UGCGAUACGUAAUGCGAAUUGCAGAAUUCAGCGAGUCAUCGAAUCUUUGAACGCACAUUGCGCCCGCCAGCAUUCUGGCGGGCAUGCCUGUCCGAGCGUCAUUUCCCCCCUCAGCAUACCCUCUGGGUGCGCUGGCGUUGGGGCUCCUCC
rnacentral:rRNA from 1 species